GUGCACUUCUGCAAUUGGUUCACAGCCCAAAUCCUCCUCCCCAUCAGAAUCAGCCAUCUCCUCACACUCGAACUCUACGUGUUCUUCAGUUUCUUCAUCAGAGUCGCUCAACUCUUCUUGUUCCAUCACAAUCUCUGGGUGAGACCGGUCUCCUAGAUCAUCCAUAUUGCAACCACUGUCAUUAUUGCUUGAGACAGCUGAUGCAUCAGCAAUUGAAACAAGGUUGCUCUGAAGUGGGCAAUUUGAACUCUG
rnacentral:misc_RNA from 1 species